rnacentral:rRNA from 1 species
ACCCGCUGAACUUAAGCAUAUCAAUAAGCGGAGGAAAAGAAACCAACAGGGAUUGCCCUAGUAACGGCGGGUGAAGCGGCAACAGCUCAAAUUUGAAAUCUGGCGUCUUUGGCGUCCGAGUUGUAAUUUGCAGAGGGCGCUUUGGCAUUGGCAGCGGUCCAAGUUCCUUGGAACAGGACGUCACAGAGGGUGAGAAUCCCGUACGUGGUCGCUAGCCUUUACCGUGUAAAGCCCCUUCGACGAGUCGAGUUGUUUGGGAAUGCAGCUCUAAAUGGGAGGUAAAUUUCUUCUAAAGCUAAAUACUGGCCAGAGACCGAUAGCGCACAAGUAGAGUGAUCGAAAGAUGAAAAGCACUUUGGAAAGAGAGUUAAAAAGCACGUGAAAUUGUUGAAAGGGAAGCGCUUGCAGCCAGACUUGCCUGUAGUUGCUCAUCCGGGUUUUUACCCGGUGCACUCUUCUAUAGGCAGGCCAGCAUCAGUUUGGGCGGUUGGAUAAAGGUCUCUGUCACGUACCUCCUCUCGGGGAGAACUUAUAGGGGAGACGUAAUGCAACCAGCCUGGACUGAGGUCCGCGCAUCUGCUAGGAUGCUGGCGUAAUGGCUGUAAGCGGCCCGUCUUGAAACACGGACCAAGGAGUCUAACAUCUAUGCGAGUGUUUGGGUGUCAAGCCCGAGCGCGUAAUGAAAGUGAACGGAGGUGGGAACCUUUCGGGGUGCACCAUCGACCGAUCCUGAUGUCUUCGGAUGGAUUUGAGUAAGAGCAUAGCUGUUGGGACCCGAAAGAUGGUGAACUAUGCUUGAAUAGGGUGAAGCCAGAGGAAACUCUGGUGGAGGCUCGCAGCGGUUCUGACGUGCAAAUCGAUCGUCAAAUUUGGGCAUAGGGGCGAAAGACUAAUCGAACUAUCUAGUA